rnacentral:snRNA from 1 species
GGAUGUGAGGGCGAUCUGGCUGCGACAUCUGUCACCUCUUUGCUCACCAGUGUUGAUUCAGCUGACCUGGCUGGCAAGGCGGGGGUCCCCUUCCUCCCUCACCCCCCACGUGCGUCCCUCCCAAAGCCACGCACUCAUCAAAGAGGCCGACCUUCCCGCUAGAGGAGGACCCUGCUCGGGUCAAGGGCAUACGAGUGGCUGCGCUCCCCUGCUACAACCUCCAGACUAGCUCUCAGGAAAGCAAAAAGCCAUGCUACAAGAUGGCAGAAAAUAUUUGCAAAUCAGAUAUUAGAUCAGGGUCUAUAAUU